AUUAGUUUGGCAGAAUUAUUGUGUUAAAUUUAGAUUUUAAUAAUAUGUAUUUUUACAUAGCUAAUA
rnacentral:tRNA from 2 species